rnacentral:lncRNA from 1 species
CCCAGGCUGAUAUGGAAAAGGCCAUGUAUUAAUCACUUUAUCAUAUACUUCCGACAAUAGUUUUAUGUAAGGCAAAUAAACAAAUGCAAUAACUAAAACAGUCAAAAACUUUAUAAAAGGAAAUAAAUUAUGAAUCAAAUAUACUAUAAUUGUCCAACAACAGCAUCACUACCUCCUUAUAUAUGUAUGGUAACAUUUCCUAUAGAGGCAUUUUGAAACAUUGAAAAUUUGGAAAAGUUUUAUGAUCAUUACUAAUCCAUGUUUGUUGUACUAUAAAAUGAUUCAUAAUUGUCAAUGGCAUUUGUUAGCAAGUACUAAACUAUCCCCAUAAAAGUUCCCGUAAAUUUUGACGUCGUCAUAAAAAACAUCUGACGUCACAAUGGAAAAGUAAACAACCGAUACCGGAAACACCGGAAGUAACUUGCACGAGAGGCACUAUUAUGGGUUUUGUGCACGAGAUGCACAUGAUAUGGGUUAUCAGCCCGGGUGGGAAAUUAUGGCUUGUGUACUUCCGCUCAUUACACAUAUGCAAAAGCUAUCAUAUCAAUGCUAAGUAUAUGAUAAAUACAUACAAC